UGUGCCAAGUACAAUACCGACUUGGUCGGAUAAAGUUCUGGGUAGAAUUAUGAUAAUGACAUUUUCUAUUUAUGUGUCUUGACUAAAUUACGUGCCAGCAGUCGCGGUAAUACGUAGAAGACUAGUGUUAUUCAUCUUUAUUAGGUUUAAAGGGUACCUAGACGGUAGAUAAAGCCUUUUGGGACUAAUUUACUAGAGUUACUUACGAGGGAGUAUUAAAGUACUAAUGGUGUAGAGAUAAAAUUCUGUAAUACCUUUUUUCGUGAGAAAGCAACGGCACAGGUAUAGGCGAAGGCAUCUCCUUAUGUGAUAGCUUUGUAUAGCUAACAGGAUUAGAUACCCUAGUAGUCAAAGCAGAAAAUGAUGAGUGUCAUAGAUUAGCUUAUUCUAUAAAUGAAAGUGUAAGCACUCCACCUCAAGAGUAAUUUGGCAACAUUGGAACUGAAAUCAUUAGACCGUUUCUGAAACCAGUAGUGAAGUAUGUUAUUUAAUUUGAUAUUCCGCAAAAAACCUUACCAUGAAUAUUUACAAGUGUUGCACGGCUGUCUUCAGUUAAUGUCGCGAGAUUAUGGUUAGCUCCAUUAAAUUAACGUAAACCCUUACUUUAUUUUUAAAUAAAGUAUGUUCUCCGCUAUAUUGGAUAAGAUAAGAGGGACUAAGACAAGUCAUCAUGGCCUAAAUGUUGUGAGCCUUUACAAAAGGAUGUG
rnacentral:rRNA from 1 species